UUUCCUUUUGCUUUUCGAAGAGGUGAAAAUUUUUUCUUGAAACAAUUUAGUCAUGUUAUUUUAAACGCAGACGAUGAUGGAAAUUAAGAGGAAGACUGAGAGAAGGAAGCUUUCGAGGUUGAUCUCUCAUCAUUCCAGUCGAUUCUUCAGUUUAAAAGCCUCCCUACAGCAGUGGCUUUUCGACUCACAAAUGCAGUACUCUUCAAUCCAACUCCUAAUUAACAAUGCUGGAAUAUUUGCUACAUCGUCUAGAUUCACCUCUGAAGGCUAUGGUCAAAUGAUGGCUACAGAGUACUUGAGUGCAUUUUCUCUUAGUAAAACUAUUAUCACCACUUCUCAGAAACAGCCCAGUUCCUUCCCGUAUUGCGAAUGUCACAUCUUUCACACAUCCAAGUGGUGACUGUGCUGGUGGAUCGUGGUGUUGUUGAAACCAAAAUCAUGCGAGAAGUUCCUCAUGCCUAUCCAUUUUGGCUUUCAAAGUUUUGAGACCUCUGUUCCUCAUGCCUGAAGUUGGAAUUAGCUCUAUUCUUGACACAGCACUUGCUCCACCAUGACUGCCCUUCGCAUCAAAGAACAAAUGAGCUUCUCGCUAACAAGAUGCAUCAGCAGCAGAUGAACCAACCGAUGAGACAUCAGAAGAACUAAUGUAGAGUAGUUGGUUCGAACAGAAAAUGUAGCGUAUUUUUUGUUAGAUCUAACCACUUUUGUAUUCUGUACAUAAAGCAAAACUUUAGUUAGAAUACCAAUUUUGGGAAAAUGUAGAUACACAAGUCUGGCCUCUUUUUAGAAUUUUUACUUUUGACAUAUGUAUUAACACAAGUCUGGUUAGAACCCU